rnacentral:pre_miRNA from 1 species
CAUAUACUUUAUCCGUACGAAAUUAUUUGUUGCAGAAAUGGAUGUAUCUAGAUGUAUUUUAGUUUUAGAUAUAUCCAUAUUCAAGACAAGUAAUUUCGAACGGAGGAAGUACAAG